UACGGAGGAUGCAGGCGUUAUCCGGAUUCAUUGGGUUUAAAGGGUGCGUAGGCGGGACUGUAAGUCAGUGGUGAAAUCCUUCAGCUUAACUGGAGAAUUGCCAUUGAUACUGCAGACCUUGAGUACAGUUGAGGUAGGCGGAAUGUAUCAUGUAGCGGUGAAAUGCUUAGAUAUGAUACAGAACUCCGAUUGCGAAGGCAGCUUACUAAGCUGUAACUGACGCUGAGGCACGAAAGCGUGGGGAGCGAACAGGAUUAGAUACCCUGGUAGUCCACGCUGUAAACGAUGAUCACUCGCUGUUAGCAACAUAUCGUUAGCGGCUAAGCGAAAGCAUUAAGUGAUCCACCUGGGGAGUACGGUCGCAAGAUUGAA
rnacentral:rRNA from 1 species